AAUACGUUCCCGGGUCUUGUACACACCGCCCGUCACACCAUGGGAGCGGGUUUUACCAGAAGUAGGUAGCUUAACCGUAAGGGGGGCGCUUACCACGGUAGGAUUCGUGACUGGGGUG
rnacentral:rRNA from 1 species